UCCAAUUUCCUAACUGCGCAUGUCCCUGCGUAGGCGCGUUAGACAUUCCUUCACUUCCGGACUCUCCAUAAGGUAUAAAUAUGGCUGCUUCGGGCUUGGCCAUCUCUUAGACAAAGGGUAUCUCACGUUUCUUCGUGUUGAAUACUUUGAAGAUUCCAGAUAACUUCUUUAGGCAGGAGAAAGGAACUGCACUGGAUUUGGCCAUUCACAUGUGAGACAUGUUCAAAAAUAACAGUGAAUGCUGCUGCUGAGUGCCAUCAAGGGAAGAGGGAGGGAUCCUCAGUACAUCAAGUAGCUUGUGGAACCUUAGAAACAGUGUGACAGGUUUUUAACUUCUCAGUGUCUGGUUGUGAGCUCUGGUUGAGAGAAGGUGUUUUCAACUCUGCUGCAAAUAAUGGAUCACGAACAACGCAUUAACGUGGAAUUUUGUUUCAAACUGCAAAAAACUGCUAAAGAAACACAUGAAAUGUUAAAAUUAGUGUACGGUGAUAGUGCAGUGGCCAUGGAGACAGUUUGCGAGUGGUUUGAGCAAUUUCGCAAUGAUUGUGAGUCAGUUGAAGACAAAAAGAAUGUCCUUCAUCAAAAACCCAAAAAAAGAUUGAAAGAAUAAGUGAAAUAAUUGGAUCCACGGAAAGUUGACUAUUAGGCACCUUUCAGAGGAUAUGAAGGUCAGUUCUAUUCAAAGCAUUUUCACAGAUGUGAAUAUGAGCUGAGGAUCAAAUUUGUUCUACAUGUUUGCUGAACAAUCAACACCCAUUUGUAAUUCUCUUCAGAGCUGUGCACUUGUGCCACUUCAGGUUUCAGUAUUUUAGUAAAUGUCAUCAGGGGGCAGAAACUUGGGUCUGUGAUUAUGAUGCUGAGAUCAAGGUUCAAAGUUCUCAGUGGAAAUCACCCAGCUGGCCUUGUGAGAGGAAAGUAAAUCAGUCAAGAUCCAGCGGCAACGAAAAAAGAAAAUCUAACGUCAAA